AAGAGCCGGAUGAAGGAAAUCUUCACGUCCGGUUCGGUGAGGGGCGUAAAGCUCUUUUACAUGGCAGAAUAUUGUGACACUCUUCAAUCGAAAGAGAAGAGAAACAGGGAAUACAAAGUACGCCUAAAUAAUAGAGCUUUACGUCUACUCGAC
rfam:Phycisphaerae bacterium SM1_79 WOR1_30_36_21072, whole genome shotgun sequence.